AUACGUAGGGGGCGAGCGUUGUCCGGAAUGAUUGGGCGUAAAGGGCGCGUAGGCGGCCCGGUAAGUCUGGAGUGAAAGUCCUGUUUUUAAGAUGGGAAUUGCUUUGGAUACUGUCGGGCUUGAGUGCAGGAGAGGUAAGUGGAAUUCCCAGUGUAGCGGUGAAAUGCGUAGAGAUUGGGAGGAACACCAGUGGCGAAGGCGACUUACUGGACUGUAACUGACGCUGAGGCGCGAAAGUGUGGGGAGCAAACAGGAUUAGAUACCCUGGUAGUCCACACUGUAAACGAUGAAUGCUAGGUGUAGGGGGUAUCGACCCCUUCUGUGCCGCAGUCAACACAAUAAGCAUUCCGCCUGGGGAGUACGGCCGCAAG
rnacentral:rRNA from 1 species